CACCAUUCCUGGCUCUGGGGGGCUCCAGGCUCUCCUCCACGCUGCCUCAGCCGCAUGGCAAUUAGACACGGUUUCCAGCAGGCCAGCUGUGCCUCCCAAGUACCUAUAAUGAAUAUUUGCAGCUCCAGGCUCCCGCGGAAAUCCUCAAGCCUUCACUUGUCACCGUCAUUUCCUUGGGAAGUGUUUCUAAUUACACAGUGCUUGCUGCCUGCUCCAGGUCGAGUCUUCUGGUAUACAACAUACGAAUUACAUAAAACCGCAAAACAGUCAGGGGACCCUGGCUGGGUCCAAAUUGCUAUGUAGUUGUUUUUAACUUCGCAGUUAAGCCAUACUGGGUGUAACAGGGCGUCAUUUGCAUGAGCGAAAACAACAGUAAAGGAACAGCACGUGCCUCAGUCUUUAUAACUCUCUGUAGAGGUCAGAGCCCGCUUCAGCAAGACAGCCAUAUAAUAAUAGAAUUUCCAGCUCUAACACACGGACUGUUUAUUUUAACUGUUAUAGCAGGGGUUUUGUGAUGAGAGACUUCAUUUUGUAUUGUCACCUGGGACCUGCCAUUUAGGGAACUUCUGGCUGUUUAGUUUCCUGGAGGUGGAAACAUCACUACCUUUGCACUCUCUUAGUUUAGGAAUUUCAGCAGGAAGGUGCAGCCGCAGCAAGAAAUGCCAUUUGCUCCAGGCUUCCUUCUGCCCACUGGCUCCUCCUCCGCAUCUCUAAGCCCUGAGUGCCCAGGGCUCAGUCGGGACCUCUUCUCUCUGUCUACGCUUGGUUCGAAGAAGAGAAUGCUCUCGCCUUCGUCUGGACCUGUAAGCCUUGCUUCAGAGGCUACCUUCUCACAGACCCUCCCAGAUCCCCACUGCAUGGGCACUGAGAGUUUGCACCUGUCUCAUAAGGUGUUAAUUAUUCAAUGCAUGCUGGUGGAAUUCAUGAAGAAGCAGUUGGGUAUCGGUGUCUGUCCCAUCUGUAUUUAAAAAUCCUGGAAUAUAGUAGAUGCUCAAUUAAAACAUGUUUUUAGUGAACGGAUUGCUAUCUACUAAAUACAGGACACUUGGGGGAGGGAAGCACGAGAGUGGAUCCCGCCUUCAGUCACUCUUUCCACCCUGCAUGACAAAAGAAGAGCUGUCACCAGGCAGGACGUGAUUGUGACUUAUUGACAAAAGUCUGUGGGACUCAGAGAAAGCUUUUCUAAGCCUACACAGCCAAAGUCAGAAAAUGUAAGGGAGGAGAUUGUUUCUACCGCAUAAAAAUGAAACAUUCUGUACUUCAAAAAAAUCAUAAAUACAGUUAAGGCAAAUGGCAAACGAGGAAAAAGUUGCCAAUAGAUUAGCAAAGGGUUACUAUCCUUAAUAUUUGAAGAGGUGGUCUCUAUCAGUAAGAAAAAGACAAAUAUUACAAAACAUUAGGGAAAGGAUAUAAAUAGUGAAAACAAAAAGAAAAAUAUAAG
rnacentral:lncRNA from 1 species